CACAGAUCCAUGCUGAUGAGAGGAGGCAUGAACAACAACAGCCAAAGCAAAGACUGCUGCAGCAGAUGUGAAGUGUCCAUGGAGAGAGCUGGCUUUGGAAACCGUUUCAGGGAUGAUUAAAAGCCAUUUUGACUCUCUUCAGGAAGUAAAUGAGAAAAAGCUGGUGACUCCUGGGAAGAAAGCAUGACGUACUAACGGGAAGGUAUCAGUAAGGAAGCUCUGUUCAUGGAAGGCCACGAGGAUAACCCACCAGGGCUGAGAACAGAAUGCAGGCUGAACAAAACUGAUCAAUAAUGGGAGGUUUCUGUCUAUACAAAACCAUGCUGGGUAUACUGAAUUCGGUGAACAGUUACCUGUAAUUACUGGAGUGAGACGAAGCGGCAACUCAUAAAAAUGGAUUCUAAGAUGCUGUAGAAGUGUCCAGUUCCCCACAGCAUCAUUCCAGUAUGAAGAAGAGUCUGCUGGUGAGCACUGAUAGCCAGGAAAGCACUCCGCACAAGGCAAGCACAAUAUAGCAAGGAGCACGCUUACAUACUAGUGCUGUACCAGAAAGCUCAAAGGGCCUCACUAUAAGCUGUCCACAACUGCAGCAUUGUUUUAUUGUUAGCUUGCUUUCUGGGACAGUUAUAGCUCAUACCAUUUAUCACUUUCCCAGACUUGCCUAGGCCGUCUUAAUAAUUUGCUAUUAUAGACAAAUACUAAGCUCCCAGAAGCACCCUGUGACAACAGACUAGUUUUGCUGGUUUAUGAAAGGUAAAGCCAGAAUUCAGAAUUAUCCUGUAUUUGCAUAUGUGUUCACAAUUUAGGUAAGUAUCCACUGCAUAUGAAAAGCAGAGAAAUGUUAGCAACAAGUUCUAGACAGUGAGAGCAACUGCAGGGUGGAUGGACCACAUACCCUGCAGCCCUAGCAAUGGGAUUUGUGGAAAUUAGGUGGAGUAUAAACCAAGGAGACUACAAGGAGCAUGGCUGCUAGGCAAAAGAGAACCUGGGGCCAACUAAAAUGACACUGGGGAAGGGAAAAGUGCUAUAAAUUGUUAUCAUUGUCUCCCCAGCAUAUGAUUUCUUGCUGUCUUUUUUUUCUCCAAAACCUCUCGCUCUCAUCAGUUGGGCUCCCCAUACUUAUCUUUUCCUGACCUCUUGCUACCAUCUGUG